CCUACGGGAGGCAGCAGUAGGGAAUAUUGCUCAAUGGGGGAAACCCUGAAGCAGCAACGCCGCGUGGAGGAUGAAGGUUUUCGGAUUGUAAACUCCUUUUGUUAGAGAAGAUAAUGACGGUAUCUAACGAAUAAGCACCGGCUAACUCCGUACCAGCAGCCGCGGGACUACGGAGGGUGCAAGCGUUACUCGGAAUCACUGGGCGUAAAGCGCGCGUAGGCGGGAUAGCAAGUCAGAUGUUAAAUCCUAUGGCUUAACCAUAGAACUGCAUUUGAAACUGGUAUUCUAGAGUAUGGGAGAGGUAGGUGGAAUUCUUGGUGUAGGGGUAAAAUCCGUAGAGAUCAAGAGGAAUACUCAUUGCGAAGGCGACCUGCUAGAACAUAACUGACGCUGAGGCGCGAAAGCGUGGGGAGCAAACAGGAUUAGAUACCCCAGUAGUC
rnacentral:rRNA from 1 species